GCGAGUGAAGAGGGACGAGCUCAAAUUCUAAAUCUGUUAGGUUUACCUAACCGAGUUGUAAUUUGAAGAGGCGUUUUCUGUGUUUCUGAUCAGCCCAAGUCCUUUGGGAUAGGGCAUCAUGGAGGGUGAGAAUCCCGUUCGGUUGGUCAGAUUCGCUUUACGAUACGUCAUCUAAGAGUCAAGUUGUUUGGGAUUGCAGCUUAAAAUGGGAGGUAAAUUUCUCCUAAGGCUAAAUAACGGCGAGAGACCGAUAGCGAACAAGUACCGUGAGGGAAAGAUGAAAAGAACUUUGAAAAGAGAGUUAAACAGUACGUGAAAUUGUUGAAAGGGAAACGAUUGAAGCCAGUCGUACCUUCGGGUAAUCAGCCUUUCGGGUGCGAUUCUGUGGAGCGUGAGGAGUUAAACGCCUUCAUGCCUGCAUAUUCGUGCACUUUGGGUGUACUUGCCCGUGUGGUAGGUUAACAUCAAUUUCGGAUAUCAUAAAAUGGCUGGAGGAAUGUAGCUUCGGUCUCGUACUGAAGUGUUAUAGCCUCUGGUAGAUGUGAUGACCGGGAUUGAGGAUUGCAACGAAUACCUUUUGGGCUACCCGCCUGAUCUCUGAAAGUUGCUCUGGUGCCGAAAGCUUGCUUACGGUUAUCAAAGUUGACGUUCAAAAGGUUAGAACGGGUUAAAUUCGUUAAGGAUGU
rnacentral:rRNA from 1 species